UACGUAGGAGGCAAGCGUUGUCCGGAGUACUGGGCGUAAAGCGCACGCAGGCGGUCCUAUUAGUCUGGGGUGACAGUUCCCGGGCUUAACCGGAAAAGGACUCUGGAAACUGUAGGACUUGAGGGCUUCAGAGGGAUGUGGAAUUCCAGGUGGAGUGGUGAAAUGCGUAGAGAUCUGGAAGAACACCAAAGGCGAAAGGCAGCAUCCUGGGAAGUUCCUGACGCUCG
rnacentral:rRNA from 1 species